GAUGCACUUGUCAACCAUUCAUAGCCAAAUAAAGUAUUUAUAGUUAUUGUAUUUUUCACUAUAUCUAACCAAACAAAAUGUAUAUAAUUAUAACUACUGCAUUUAUAAUUGCAUGCAUCUAAAACUAUGCUGCAUUUACAAUUACAUCCUACCAAACAACCCCUUAAAAAGUACCGAGAUCUCUAUAUUUUUAAGUUAUUUUUAAUAAUAGGAUAUCUGAAUCAAUGAUCGGUUUCAUUAGACGCGAAUUACUAUUGAAAGUAUUUAAAAAUUAAAUUCUAUAUAUAUAUUUUUGACAUCAUUUGUGUUACGGCAAACGCACAAAUGGAAAUGAAAUGGCGAACACGAAAUAAACAAACCACAAGCAGAAAUAAAAGAAAACAUAUAGAUUUACGUGAAAAAUUCUUUGCAAGAAAAAAUCAUGGGCGAGGGAGGAAAGAACUUCACUAUCAAACGAAAAAGAAAAUACAAUGUUCAGAUAGUACAACCGAUCACAAUCACACGCCUCUAGGACAAAAACGAAAGGAAAACUUUUAACGGGUUUCGGAUCCGAUCCGUACUACAGACAUUUAUUUUUCCUUCAUAAAUUUAUUUUCCAAUUUGAUCACACCGCGAAGCUGUCGGCUAGUUGAAAAUCCGAACUUGAGUCGAUUAUCAAUUUCGAGUCACAUCUAACAAUUUGUCUAAUAAAUAAACAGCCUCAAAAUAAACGAUUAAAUAUAAAAAUCUUAUAAUAAUAAAAGACUUAAUUUUAUAUCAGAGAUACAAAACACAUUAAUUCUAGAUAGUGUUGAGAAUUUUCUAUCAAAUUAUUACUAAAUUUGAAUUAUUUUAUAUCAUUAAAUUUAUAAACGUGUCGCAUUAGCCACUAAACUUUAUA
rnacentral:lncRNA from 1 species